GACGAACCGUGCGAACGUUGUUCGGAAUCACUGGGCAUAAAAGGGCGCGUAGGCGGCUUAUCAAGUCAGGGGUGAAAUCCGGCAGCUCAACUGUCGAAGUGCCUUUGAUACUGAUGAGCUAGAGGGAGAUAGGGGUAUGCGGAACUUCCGGUGGAGCGGUGAAAUGCGUUGAUAUCGGAAGGAACGCCGGUGGCGAAAGCGGCGUACUGGAUCGUCUUCUGACGCUGAGGCGCGAAAGCUAGGGGAGCAAACGGG
rnacentral:rRNA from 1 species